rnacentral:lncRNA from 10 species
CCUCAAGCCUGGGAAUACGUGCAGAUACCUAAGGACUGGAAUUCCGCCCAGGAUGACCCUCAAAGGGAAGUUCACGUUUCAGACCUACGGUGUGUGCAGAGCUCAGGCCCCAGGAACUUGGGGACAGAGGUGCCUUCUCGCUUCUCUCUGAAUCUGUGUCUGAGGUGAGAGAGGCAUGGCCCUGGUGGCCUUUCUUAAUUUCAGGUUGGGUUCCAAGAAAGCAAUGACGGCUCGCGAUUUCUUCUUUCUCACGCCAUUCUCUGUUCGGUUGCCAAGGAAGUGGAAAAAAAUUGGUUUUGCUUAUCUAAAAAGGUUCAGCUCUUCUUGCAUCUACCGGAUCACCAAGAACUUGCACAGCUAUCAUUCUGCUUGUAGGAAAGGGCACAUGCUGGAUUAAAACCGUGCAGAUGACCACAUCCUUUUACAAACCAGGGGCAACUCUGUGGCUUCCUAGGCUACAGAUUCUCUCAGACUACACUAGCAGCAAAUUGAGAAGGCCACCUCUUUAAUACAAUUUACAAUUCAUUCAAAAGGACUCUAUAAACAGCCACACUUGAUGGCCCGAAUAACUGGUGAGACUCUGGUGACCUUUUCACUUCAUAGGUACAUAUCAUAUUACCUAAAGCUUUUGAGCAUUGCAAAAAUAAAGAUGGACCGGCCAGGCAUGGUGGCUCACGCCUGUAAUCCCAGCACUUUGGGAGGCCGUGGCAGGCAGAUCACGAGGUCAGGAGAUCGAGACCAUCCUAGCUAACACGGUGAAACCCCAUCUCUAUUAAAAAUACAAAAAAUUAGCCGGGUGUGGUGGCGGGCACCUGUAAUCCCAGCUACUCAAGAGGCUGAGCCAGGAGAAUCACUUGAACCUGGGAGGCGGAGGUUGCAGUGAGCCACGAUUGCGCCAUUGUACUCCAGUCUGGGCAACAGAGCAAGACUUCAUCUCAAAAAAUCAAUCAAUAAAUAAAGAUGGACCAUGAGAGUUUUAUUUUGUAGGAAAUUAUUACUCUGUUAACUCCAUGAAUGCAGGACUGGGUAUCACUCCACACUAUUUACAAACACCCUGAGCAGUCCCUGUGAUAGUGUUUACUUAACACAUACUGAGUGAUGGAAAUAUAAAUUAAUAAAUACAUCCUCAUUCUCCAAUGCCCCACCAUCCAUAGAAAAAAUGCAAAAUACGUCCCUCUGUUUUCCCGAUUAUCUCCCUUGUGGAUUAUUUUCUUCCAAGACCCAUUUUUUUUUUUUUUUCGGACGAAAUCUUGGUCUGUCGCCAGGCUGGAGUGCAGUGGCAGGAUCUCGGCUGACGGCAACCUCCACUUCCCGGGUUCAAGUGAUUCUCCUGCCUCAGCCUCCCCAGUAGCUGGGAUUACAGGUGCCUGCCACCAGGCCCGGCUAAUUUUUGUAUUUUUAGUAGAGACGGGGUUUCACCAUGUUGGCCAGGCUGAUCUCGAUCUCUUGACCUCAUGAACCGCCCACCUCAGUCCCCCAAAGUGCUGGGAUUACAGGCGUGAGCCACCGCGCCUGGUCCCCAAGACCCGUAUUUUUUAUAUCAAGUCUCUACUUGUUACAUUAAAAUCUUUACUUUUUAAAAAAAAUCUCUUUUCCCAGAAAAAUACACGCCCUCGAACUGCGAGGACUUAUUCUAUAUUGAGAGCCUGCUGUGUCUUGAUUACUUUUCAGCCUAAUUUUUUGUUUUGAGCUUACAAUGCCUGGUAUAUAAGAGAGGCUCAAAAAGUAGGAUCAGGUUAAAAUCAUGGUCUUUGGGCUAGAAGGAAUUUUUCUUUUCUUUUCUUUUCUUUUUCUUUUUCUUUUUUCUUUUCUUUUUUUUUUUUUUUUGAGACAGAGUCUUUCUCUGUUGCCCAGGCUGGAGUGCAGUAGCACAAACUCGGCUCACUCCCGGGCUCAAGUGACUUUCCUGCCUCAGCCUCCCAAGUAGCUGGAACUACAGGCACAUGCCACUGCACAUGGCUAAUUUUUGUAUUUUUUAUAGAGAUGGGGUUUCUCCAUGUUACCCAGGCUGGACUUGAGCUGCUGAGCUCAAGUGAUCCGCCCACCUCAGCCUCCCAAAGUGCUGGGAUUACAGGCGUGAGCUACUAUACCCAGCCUACGAAGACUUGUUCUGAAUCCUGAUCCUACCUUAUAACUUGCUAGCUUUGUAAUCUGUAAGUCUGUUACCCACAAAAGGAGACAAUAAAUGUAUCUACAUUAUAGUUUUGGAAGAUUAAGUGAAUUUAUAUAUGUUCAUUGAAUUAUAGGAAACAAAACCAUACCAGAUAUAUGGUAAGCAAUAUUCAACUCUUUACAUGGAAGGAAAAAUCAGCCCUUGAGAACUGGGACCUGGCCUGGCAUUCGUCCCACGCCACAUGAUUCUGUUGAACAGCAAUGAUUUUACACCACCCCGACAUCAGAUGGGGCCACGGGGUGAGAAUGAGCAAAGCAAAAACAAGAGUGCAGGGAAGUUCUCCAGGUGGCCUGAGACUGACCCAAUCUUCCCCACUCUUGACUGUAGCUCUCAAGAAUAACUAGAAUGUACUGGGAAUGCAGCCGGGCACGGCGGCUGAUGCCUGUAAUCCCAGCACUUUGGGAGGCCAAGGUGGGCGGAUCACCUGAGGUCAGGAGUUCGAGACCAGCCUGGCCAACAUAGUGAAACCACGUCUCUACUGAAAAUACAGAAUUGGCCGGGCGUGGUGGCUCACGCCUGUACUCCCAGCACUUUGGGAGGCCGAGGCGGGCGGAUCACGAGGUCAGGAGAUCGA